UUUACAAAUAAAAUGUAGGUU
rnacentral:piRNA from 1 species